GAAAGGCUGAAGCACCUGUAAAAGCUCCUAGAGUCACUUAGAAGACAUUUAAGUCAUGAAGACACUGGGUUCCUUGGUCUGAUACAAUGUUAUGCCAAUCCUGAGCUGGUGGAUCAAACACUCUCUAAGCUGCUGGAUAGUGAUGCUGACUUCCCUGUGAGAAGGUAAACUCAUUUAUAGGUAUAUAGAAACAAGCAAAAAUGUCUCCACACAAGGGAUGAUUCCUGGAUUUCCUUUACUUUUCUGCCCAAGCCAUUGUCCUCAGGAAUGAUGUGUGGCUAUAAAAUGUACUGUGGAAAUCAUCUCUCCAUUCAGGAACUCAGCACAGCUGCUACCAUGAGGAGACUGCGUAUGUUCUGAAGCUAACGAACCUGUGUUCAAGAAUCUGCCUUUAGAAGUAACAGCACUGAAAGCCAUAAGCAAAAAAAUCUCAAGUAUGAUGGUAGCAAAUAGCUUCACAUAGAAACAUCUACUCUGUUGGCAAGUGCCCUUUAGAAAGCAGGACUUAAAUUCUUUUAAAACAAAAUCACCAGUCAUUCUUAGGAGUCUGCUGCUUGCAAAAGUAGGAAAAACAGGUUUUUUGAGCUACAGCUGCAGAUUCAAAAAUUAGUUUGUACCAGUUGAUUUUGCUUUAGUAAUGUAAAAAGUAAAAAACCCAAAGAGAGCAGUAAGAAUUAGCUGAGGGUGUUUAGAGAUGUCAAAGAAAAUAACGGCAGAAAA
rnacentral:lncRNA from 1 species